rnacentral:rRNA from 1 species
CCUACGGGAGUCAGCAGUGAGGAAUAUUGGUCAAUGGGCGGGAGCCUGAACCAGCCAAGUCGCGUGAAGGAUGAAGGAUCUAUGGUUUGUACACUUCUUUUAUAUGGGAAUAAAGUGAGGCACGUGUUCCUUUUUGUAUGUACCCUAUGAAUAAGCAUCGGCUAACUCCGUGCCAGCAGCCGCGGUAAUACGGAGGAUGCGAGCGUUAUCCGGAUUUAUUGGGUUUAAAGGGUGCGUAGGUGGUUAAUUAAGUCAGCGGUGAAAGUGUGUGGCUCAACCAUAAAAUUGCCGUUGAAACUGGUUGACUAGAGUAUACUUGAGGUAGGCGGAAUGCGUGGUGUAGCGGUGAAAUGCAUAGAUAUCACGCAGAACUCCGAUUGCGAAGGCAGCUUACUAAACUAUAACUGACACUGAGGCACGAAAGCGUGGGGAUCGAACAGGAUUAGAUACCCGGGUAGUC